rnacentral:rRNA from 1 species
AACGAACGCUGGCGGCAGGCUUAACACAUGCAAGUCGAACGCCCCGCAAGGGGAGUGGCAGACGGGUGAGUAACGCGUGGGAAUCUACCCAGUUCUACGGAACAACACAGGGAAACUUGUGCUAAUACCGUAUACGCCUACGGGGGAAAGAUUUAUCGGAAUUGGAUGAGCCCGCGUUGGAUUAGCUAGUUGGUGAGGUAAUGGCUCACCAAGGCGACGAUCCAUAGCUGGUCUGAGAGGAUGAUCAGCACACUGGGACUGAGACACGGCCCAGACUCCUACGGAGGCAGCAGUGGGGAAUAUUGGACAAUGGGCGCAAGCCUGAUCCAGCCAUGCCGCGUGAGUGAUGAA